CGCGCUCUGUGAUGACGAUUGGUGGGCGGGUAUUUCGCGCGCCAGUCCUCCAGUGUUUUUGUUACCACAAUAGUUAACCAGCAUGCCGUUCACAUUUUGCUUGCUGAUGCCUCACAGAAUGGAGAAAUUUAUCCCAGACUAAAUGGUAUGUAUGGGAAAUAUGGAUUGGGAACAAUUGGAGCUCAACCCAAGGAUUAUAGCAGCCGUAAAGAAAGGUGCCCUUCUUUGCGAGGCAUUGGAAAAUCUCCCUUGUCUUUGUGGUUGAAUCUGUGUUGAAAUUCACUGCUCCACUGAGGGACCUUACAAUUAUCUGUAUGUGUGGGGUACAGAGAUGAGCUAAUGUGAAAUCAGCGAGGGAGAUUCUCAGUCUCUCGGGUCCGGAUCUACAACGACUCACCCACCUGUCAAAGUCAGACGUGCAACACCUGCACACAGCUGUUGCUAUCUCUUACCGCAGACAUUCACCUGUAACAGCCUUACAAGUGCACCGUGGAGAGUGUCCCUCUUUGGAACCUGGGCACAAGCUAAGUUUGGCUUGCCCCGUUCUGGACGCUCUACUGCGAGGUGGUGUACCGUUGAGCGGCAUCACAGAACUGGCAGGGGAGAGCAGUGCAGGAAAGACCCAGUUUGGCUUGCAGCUGUGUCUUUCUGUGCAGUACCCACUGGCGUAUGGAGGGCUCAAUUCAGGAGCUGUGUAUAUUUGCACAGAAGACUCGUUUCCCAUCAAGCGUCUGCGGCAGCUCAUUACCCAGCAGGCUCGGCUGCGGCCAGAGCUUCCCCAGGCCCUGAUACGGAGCAUCCGUUUCAGCGACAACAUCUAUAUAGAGCAUGCUGCCGAUCUGGGUGCACUGCAGGCCUGCGUGUCCCAGCGGGUGCCCAUUCUGCUCUCCCGGGGCCUUGUUCGGCUGGUGGUGGUGGACUCUGUGGCGGCUCUGUUCCGCAGCGAGUUCCAGGCGGACGAGGGUAUCGAGAGAGCCCGCCACAUGCUGGCGUUUGCCGCCACUCUCCACCGCCUGAGUCACAACUACAGUACCCCGGUGCUGUGCAUCAACCAGGUGACAGAUGUAAUGGAUGGGCCAGAUCCAGCACACUGUAACUUUGGGUUGGUGGACAAUAAGGUGCUGCCCGCCCUGGGCAUGGCCUGGGCCAACCAGGUGAUGGUGAGGCUGAUGCUGCUCCGCCUCCCGGGCUGUGUGGGCACCGGGGAGCAGGGCGGUACCAGCGCCCCUCGCAGGCUGGAGGUAGUGUUCGCCCCCCACCUCCCCAGAGCCAGCUGCCUGUGUGGGGUGUGGGAGGAAGGAGUGAGAGGGCUGCCAAACAGACCCCGGUCUGUCACCAACAGCGUUACCAAGAGACUUGAAACCACAGGCGAAUUGGGCCUGAACGAUGGUACCUAAAUCCGAUAAACUUUUACAGUUAUAGGAUACAGAAAAAAGUGCCAAAUGGGAAAAUGAUAGGGACCCGCACACUGUUUAGAUGCUCUGCAGUUUUCUUGGCAAUAUUGUAACCACAAAGGAAUUUUGUAUCAGGUGAUUCAAGGGUGAUUCCAGCAGGAAAUGCACACUAGAGGAGAGUGGACACUGCAGGAUGGCAGGACUGUUGCCUUACUUUGUACUUCGACAUUUCAUAGUGAAGCCUAUAUGCAUUUAAAAGGAGAGGGAAGAUAGUAGAAAAAGUAUGAAAGUAUUAUGUGUCAAAUGAUCCUGACAAACCACCUUUAAAAAAUAAUCGAAAUACAUUUUUAACAGCAGACAUCUUCUGCUUUUCUUUUCACAACAGAAUGUAAUAUAAGCUAUUGCAAAAAUAUAUAUAUAUAUAUUUUGCACUACACUUCUGAAGUUUCAUUUGCAUAGCAGCGUGUUCCUGUUGGAGGGAGCUGACACUUGAUUUAGAAAUCGGUAGGCCUGUGGUCUAUGCCAAUCAGUACUGACAACAGCACAUCCUAGCAACAGCACUGAUGGUUUCUAAAUAGUGUAAUUUCACUCCAACCAGGACAUGCUGCUCUGCAAGUCAAAUGCACUUCUGAAAACAGUGCAGAAAACUAUCUGCAACGAUUGAAUUCUGGCCAAAGUCUUAUUUGUUUCACAUGUUAGAGGACGUUCUAUCCAGUGAUGUAGUGGUAAAUAAAAUUGGUGGGUAAAGCGAAUUGCCAUUGGUGGUGAAUGAAGUAACGCUUUUUAUACUUUCAGUGCAUUUUUCCCUGAUAGCUGGGUAAACACUCGCACAAAAAGAGUAAAUGGCAUUUAUGUGCAUUUACUUUAGACAGCUCGGUGCAUUCAACACCUCUCCAAUACAAGCAGUGAUGAAGUCAAUCUCUCCUCCACUUUGAGCCAGGAGAGAUUGACACGCAUAUUCGUAAUAUCAGCUCUCUGUGUACAUCCAAGGGCCAAUCGUGCUGCCCCGUUCUGAACCAAUUGCAAUUUUCCUAAAUACUUUUUUGUGGCACCUGACCACACUACUGAACAGUAGUCCAAGUGCGACAAAACCAGGGACUGUAGGACCUGCCUAGUUGACAGUGCUGUCAAGAAGGUAGAUCAGCGCCUUAUCAUGGGCAUACUUCUCCCCAUCUUAGCUACUGUUGUAUCAGUAUGUUUGACCAUGAGUUUUUACAAUCCAGGGUAACUCCAAGUAGUUUAGUCACCUCAACUUGCUCAAUUUCCAUAUUAUUUAGUACAAGAUUUAGUUUAGGUUUAGGGUUUGGUGAAUGAUUUGUCCCAAAUACAAUGCUUUUAGUUUUAGAAAUAUUUAGGACUAACUUAGUCCUUGCCACCCACUCUGAAACUAACUGCAACUCUUCAAAUGUUGCAGUCAUUUCAGUCGCUGUAGUAGCUGACAUGUAUAGCGUUGAGACCUUUGCAUACAUAAACACUCUGGCUUUCCUCAAAGCCAGUGGCAAUUCAUUAGUAAAGAUUGAAAAAAGUAAUGGGCCAAGACAGCUGCCCUGGGGAAACCCUGAUUCUACCUGGAUUAUGUUGGAGAGGCUUCCAUUAAAGAGCACCCUCUGUGUUCUGUUAGUCAGGUAACUCUUUAUCCACAAUGUGCAUGUGUGUGUACGGCUUUGUGUCUUUGUAUGUCACUGUGUGUGUCCUGCAAAAGUCAUUUUUAUAUAUUUCUGCAGACGUACAUUGAAAUGGAUAGUCAUUUGCUCAAUAACUGGAAGUCUAUGGGAACAGCUAGCAUAUCAUUGUGCAGGCACUAGCAGCAAUAGAACCCCCCUUACCCUUGCCACCAUUGCUGGAAAAAAAAUCCUAAAGGGAAUCUCUCUACUUUGACAAAUAAAUCAUUUUAUUCAGUCCUUCCUUGCCUGGGUAAUUCAUUUAAGCUUAAUACAGAUUUAAUAGACUAUCAAUAUAGUAUAUAGAUAUGUACGUGUCCAAAUACCCAUACUAGUGUACAAUGUAAAUAAACUGCAUCGUAUGUACUCCUCUUCGCAUACUAUUUAUGUUGUAAGGUUUAGUAAAAAGUAUGCAGUUUGCCACGGGCGUAGUGUACUACUUUUGCUACAGCUUCGCAUAUGUAACUGGCUAGCUAGGUUAAAUAUGAAGUUGUUGCUCAACAACAGCAAGCUUAUCGGGUAUUCAACUUCAAAUCCUACUGAAGCACAUAGUUAACGUAUUUAGCUAAAGUAAAGGCACGGCAUGCUGCAAAUAACAAUCUGUUUUCAAAGAUACGAUUAAAUGGUCAUGAUCCUUUUUAAGGACAAAAAAAAUGACUUGCAUUUGAACAGGAGACUCUGCUCGUUGUCUUAGCCAUCUUCAAUGUUUUUUUUUUGUUAACCUUCAGAGACAUAUCAAAUUCCAAAGACCUAUCUGGUAUGAAUACAUUUUGUGUGUGAGAGAAACUCCCGAAAAGUUGACAAUUCAUUCAUACUACAUGAGAAGCCGAAAUGAGUAUGACAUCCUGGCUUUUAAAGCAUACUACUUUUUUAAAUGUCACAUGCUAUUGUUCGCAUACUCAAAAGGCUACUAUUUAGGAUGCUAGUAUGAGUAUUUGGAGCACGGCCACUGUCGAAGGCACCGCUCCAGAAUCUCCCUUAAGUGUUCAAUUGGGUUGAGAUCUGGUGACGGAGAUGGCCAUGACAUAUGGUUUACAUUAGUUUAUACUCCUCAAACCAUUCAGUGACCACUGUCAUCCUAUGGGGGCAUAACCAUGGUAGCCAAAAUAAUGUCCUGCCCUGCAUUUUUAUGCAUGACCCAAACCUUGAGAUGUUUAUUGCUUAAUUAACUGAGGAACCACAACUGUGUGGAAGCACCUACUUUCAAUAUACUUUGUAUCCCUCAUUUACUCAAGUGUUUCUGUUAUUUUGGCAGUUGCUAACCGCUCUAGUUGCUGUUCCCUUCUUAUACAUUCAUUGAGUGUACAAAACAUUAUGAACACCCUCCUAAUAUUGAUAUUUUAAUGAUUUUCUUUCACCUUUUAUUUAAUUAGGCAAGUCAGUUAAGAACAAAUUCUUAUUUACAAUGACGGCCUACUGGGGAACAGUGGAGCAGAACAACAGUUUACCUUGUCAGCUCGGGGAUUUGAUCCAGCUACCUUUCGGUUACUGGCCCAACGCUCUUACCACUAGGUUAUCUGCCGCCCUGAGUUGCACCUCCUUUUGUCCUCAGUAUUAUCAGGAUCAGAGAAUAAUGGCUCCCUGUCCCAAUCCAAUAGCAAAGUAGUACACUACGCCUGUGGCAAACUGCAUACUUUUUACUAAACCUUACUAUUUAUGAUGUAUGCGAAGAGGAGUACAAACGAUGCAGUUUAAGUACAUUGUACACUAUUAUGGGUAUUUGGACACGGCCAGCGUCACCACCAUCAACGAAACACAAAAUUAUGGAAUUUCUUGUUGAAGGGUAUCCAAUAGAGUUCCGGACAGAUUGUAGAAUCUAUGCCAAGGUGCAUUGAAGCGGUUCUGGCUCGUGGUGGCCCAUUGCCCUAUUAAGAUGCAUUAUUUUGGCAGUUACCUGUAUUUGUAACAGUGGAACAGCACAGUUAAGCCUAAUUUAUCAGAGAGUCAGACCCAAAAUGUACAUAUCUAUAUACUAUAUUGAUAAUCUAUUAAAUCUGUAUUAAGCUUAAAAAUGAAUUACCCAGGCAAGGAAGGACUGAAUAAAAUGAUUUAUUUGUCAAAGUAGAGACUUCCAGCUUUUCCUCUGCGGUCCAAAGUCCAGUCUUGAGUUUAGCCUGAAAUAAAACCUUUCUUUACCGAAA